rnacentral:rRNA from 1 species
UACGUAGGGUGCAAGCGUUAAUCGGAAUCACUGGGCUUAAAGCGCGUGUAGGCGGGUGGGAGCGUCGGCCCCUGAAAGCCCCCGGCUCAACCGGGGAAGGGGUGCCGAGAUGUCCCGCCUGGAGGGGCGUAGGGGGACCUGGAAUUUCCGGUGGAGCGGUGAAAUGCGUAGAGAUCGGAAAGAACACCAACGGCGAAAGCACUCUGCUGGGCCGACACUGACACUGAGAGACGAAAGCUAGGGGAGCGAAUGGG